AUUGAACGCUGGCGGCAUGCCUUACACAUGCAAGUCGAACGGUAACAGGUCUUCGGAUGCUGACGAGUGGCGAACGGGUGAGUAAUACAUCGGAACGUGCCUAGUAGUGGGGGAUAACUACUCGAAAGAGUGGCUAAUACCGCAUGAGAUCUACGGAUGAAAGCAGGGGAUCGCAAGACCUUGUGCUACUAGAGCGGCCGAUGGCAGGUUAGGUAGUUGGUGGGAUAAAAGCUUACCAAGCCGACGAUCUGUAGCUGGUCAGAGAGGACGAUCAGCCACACUGGGACUGAGACACGGCCCAGACGCCUACGGGAGGCAGCAGUGGGGAAUUUUGGACAAUGGGCGCAAGCCUGAUCCAGCAAUGCCGCGUGCAGGAUGAAGGCCUUCGGGUUGUAAACUGCUUUUGUACGGAACGAAAAGCCCCAGGUUAAUACCCUGGGGUCAUGACGGUACCGUAAGAAUAAGCACCGGCUAACUACGUGCCAGCAGCCGCCGCGG
rnacentral:rRNA from 1 species